rnacentral:rRNA from 1 species
UACCUGCAGCUCGAGUGGUGAUCGUUAUUAUUGGGCCUAAAACGUCCGUAGCCGGUCUGGUAAAUGCCUGGGUAAAUCGUAUGGCUUAACUAUACGAAUUCCGGGUAGACUGUUAGACUUGAGACCGGGAGAAGCUAGAGGUACUCUUGGGGUAGAGGUGAAAUUCUGUAAUCCUAGGGGGACCACCAGUGGCGAAGGCGUCUAGCUAGAACGGGUCUGACGGUGAGGGACGAAGCCCUGGGGCGCAAACGGGAUUAGAUACCCCGGUAGUCCAGGGUGUAAACGCUGCUUGCUUGAUGUUAGUCUGGCUCCGAGCCAGAUUAGUGUCGGAGAGAAGUUGUUAAGCAAGCUGCCUGGGAAGUACGGCCGCAAGACUGAAACUUAAAGGAAUUGGCGGGGGAGCACAGCAACGGGUGGAGCGUGCGGUUU